rnacentral:rRNA from 1 species
UACAGAGGUGGCAAGCGUUGUUCGGAAUUACUGGGCGUAAAGGGCGCGUAGGCGGCCCGUCAAGUCCCGUGUGGAAGCCCCCGGCUCAACCGGGGAACGGCGCGGGAAACUAGCAGGCUUGAGUUCGGGAGAGGGAAGCGGAAUUCCGGGUGUAGCGGUGAAAUGCGCAGAUAUCCGGAGGAACACCGGUGGCGAAGGCGGCUUCCUGGACCGACACUGACGCUGAGGCGCGAAAGCUAGGGGAGCAAACAGG